CUACGUGCCAGCAGCCGCGGUAAUACGGAGGAUGCGAGCGUUAUCCGGAAUCAUUGGGUUUAAAGGGUCCGUAGGCGGGCUAAUAAGUCAGAGGUGAAAGCGCUCAGCUCAACUGAGCAACUGCCUUUGAAACUGUUAGUCUUGAAUGGUUGUGAAGUAGUUGGAAUGUGUAGUGUAGCGGUGAAAUGCUUAGAUAUUACACAGAACACCGAUAGCGAAGGCAUAUUACUAACAAUUAAUUGACGCUGAUGGACGAAAGCGUGGGGAGCGAACAGGAUUAGAUACCCUGGUAGUCCACGCUGUAAACGAUGGAUACUAGCUGUUUGAGGUAUCGACCCCUCGAGUAAUAAAGCUAACGCGUUAAGCAUCCCGCCUGUGGAGUACGGCCGCAAGGCUAAAACAUAAAGGAAUUGACGGGGACCCGCACAAGCGGUGGAGGAUGUUCUUUAAUUCGAAGUUAAGCGAAGAACCUUACCAGGGCUUGACAUCCCUA
rnacentral:rRNA from 1 species